rnacentral:lncRNA from 1 species
ACUUUAUUUUACGUUUAAAUAUUUUAUGAUGUAUUUAAAUGAGUAGUUAUUGUUGCAAACUCCAUUAGAAAUUUGAAUUGAGAUCAGUUUUGGAAAAAAAAGGGGGGGGGUUAAAUUUUUCUCAUUUCAGAUUUCAUAAAUAAAAAGAAAAUUUCUUCAAACAUUUUUUUGAGAGGAUUAAUAUUCAACAGCAUAGUGAAUUGCUCAAAGGCAAACAAAAUAUUUUAAGUUCAUUUGACCACAUUCAUUCUGUGUCCGAAACCUAUGCUGUGUCAACUAUUUAAUCACAAUCCAAAUUUAGAGCUGAAUCCAGCUUGAAUGUUGUGUCCAUACUUGCCCCAACC